rnacentral:rRNA from 1 species
GACGAACGCUGGCGGCGUGCCUAAUACAUGCAAGUCGAACGCAGUGGGGACGGGCGAGUAACACGUGGGUAACCUCCCAUCAGAGGGGAAAACACUUGGAAACAGGUGCUAAACCGAUACUGAUGGAUGGACCCGCGGUGCAUUAGCCAGUUGGGGGGGUAACGGCCUACCAAGGCCACGAUGGACAGCCGGCCUGAGAGGGUGAGCGGCCACACUGGGACUGAGACCCGGCCCAGAUUCCUACGGGAGGCAGCAGUAGGGAAUCUUCGGCAAUGGACGAAGGUCUGACCGAGCAACGCCGCGUGAGUGAAGAAGGUUUUCGGAUCGUAAAACUCUGUUGUUAGAGAGGCGGUAUCUAACCAAAAAGCCACGGCUAACUACGUGCCAGCAGCCGCGGUAAUAC